rnacentral:rRNA from 1 species
CCCUUAGAUGCUCUGGGCCGCACGCGCGCUACACUGGUCGAUGCAACGAGUUUCUUUCCUUGGCCGACAGGCCUGGGCAAUCUUUGAACAUCGAUCGUGAUCGGGAUAGAUUCUUGUAAUUUUUGAUCUUAAACGAGGAAUUCCUAGUAAACGCAAGUCAUCAGCUUGCAUUGAUUACGUCCCUGCCCUUUGUACACACCGCCCGUCGCUCCUACCGAUUGAAUGGUCCGGUGAAGCGUUCGGACCGUGGCCUUUGGACGGUUCGCCGUCUGUUGGCUGCGGGAAGUUCGUUAAACCUUAUCAUUUAGAGGAAGGAGAAGUCGUAACA